AUUGAACGCUGGCGGCAGGCCUAACACAUGCAAGUCGAACGAGUGGCGGACGGGUGAGUAAUGUCUGGGAAAAUGCCUGAUGGAGGGGGAUAACUACUGGAAACGGUAGCUAAUACCGCAUACCAUCAGAUGUGCCCAGAUGGGUUGUGCUAGGUGGUGGGGUAACGGCUCACCAAGGCGCAGAUCACUAUCUGGUCUGAGAGGAUGACCGUCCACACUGGAACGUAGAUACGGUCCCGACGCUUACGGGAGGCAGCAGUGGGGAAUAUUGCACAAGGGGCGCAAUCCUGAUGCAGCCAUGCCGCGUGUAGGAAGAAGGCCUUCGGGUUGUAAAGUACUUUCAGCGGGGAGGCGUUACCCGCAGAAGAAGCACCGGCUAACUCCGUGCCAGCAGCCGCGGUAAUAC
rnacentral:rRNA from 1 species